GAGCCCAUCCCCGCCGCCACAGUCAUCGGCCCGCCUUCGUGGUCGCCGGUUCGCUGCCCACAAUGGCACUCACGCCGCCCCAAGCCCAGCACCGACGAAUUCAUAACCUGUGCACUCUCCUUCCUUGCAUUCCCCAUGCAAGCGCGCAUGAGGCAGCGCCAUUGGAUCAAUGGAGCGCAUGUUGUAUGUGUGUGCGCGUGCGCCUAAACGCGACGACGCGUGCGGGAGCUCCCCCUUCUCCUUCCUUUUCCUCUCUCCCGGCGCGCGCGAUGGAGCUUGAGCUGGGCGGGACACUGAGCAUGAGUUCAUGGGGGCAGAGGAAGAAGUCAGUCAGGUAGAAGGCGUGAACAUUGGGGGGUGGCUACAUGCGAGAAGGAGGUUGUGAAUGCUGGGAUGGGUGCUGGCUGGCCGACGAGUGCAUCAAAGGUACUCGUGAACAUGGUGAUAAGGGAUUGGUGCUGCAGCGGUAUGCGUCUGGUGGCCAUGCAGUGGCAUCCACUACUUAGAUACGUAAUCUAGCCGACAAUGGGGAUGAAAUAAAGAGAAGAAGAAAUUCCUGUGAUGGAUCUCUAUGGAAGUUGUUACAUGAAGCAUUUUUAUCUGGGAACGUCUACUUUA